GACGAACGCUGGCGGCGUGCUUAACACAUGCAAGUCGAACGGAAAGGCCCUGCUUUUGUGGGGUGCUCGAGUGGCGAACGGGUGAGUAACACGUGAGUAACCUGCCCUUGACUUUGGGAUAACUUCAGGAAACUGGGGCUAAUACCGGAUAGGAGCUCCUGCUGCAUGGUGGGGGUUGGAAAGUUUCGGCGGUUGGGGAUGGACUCGCGGCUUAUCAGCUUGUUGGUGGGGUAGUGGCUUACCAAGGCUUUGACGGGUAGCCGGCCUGGGAGGGUGACCGGCCACAUUGGGCCUGAGGUACGGCCCAGACUCCUACGGGAGGCAGCGGUGGGGAAUAUUGCACAAUGGGCGGAAGCCUGAUGCAGCAACGCCGCGUGCGGGAUGACGGCCUUCGGGUUGUAAACCGCUUUCGCCUGUGACGAAGCGUGAGUGACGGUAAUGGGUAAAGAAGCACCGGCUAACUACGUG
rnacentral:rRNA from 1 species